CUACGGGCGGCUGCAGUGGGGAAUUUUGGACAAUGGGCGCAAGCCUGAUCCAGCCAUUCCGCGUGAGUGAAGAAGGCCUUCGGGUUGUAAAGCUCUUUCGCAAGGGAAGAAAACUUAUCCCCUAACAUAGGGUGAGGUUGACGGUACCUUGAUAAGAAGCACCGGCUAACUACGUGCCAGCAGCCGCGGUAAUACGUAGGGUGCGAGCGUUAAUCGGAAUUACUGGGCGUAAAGCGUGCGCAGGCUGUUUUGUAAGUCAGAUGUGAAAUCCCCGAGCUCAACUUGGGAACUGCGUUUGAAACUACAAGACUAGAAUAUGUCAGAGGGGGGUAGAAUUCCAUGUGUAGCAGUGAAAUGCGUAGAGAUGUGGAGGAAUACCAAUGGCGAAGGCAGCCCCCUGGGAUAAUAUUGACGCUCAUGCACGAAAGCGUGGGGAGCAAACAGGAUUAGAUACCCGCGUAGUC
rnacentral:rRNA from 1 species